rnacentral:rRNA from 1 species
GAUGAACGCUGGCGGCGUGCUUAACACAUGCAAGUCGAACGAUGAAGCCCAGCUUGCUGGGUGGAUUAGUGGCGAACGGGUGAGUAACACGUGAGUAACCUGCCCUUAACUCUGGGAUAAGCCUGGGAAACUGGGUCUAAUACCGGAUAGGAGCGCCUACCGCAUGGUGGGUGUUGGAAAGAUUUAUCGGUUUUGGAUGGACUCGCGGCCUAUCAGCUUGUUGGUGAGGUAAUGGCUCACCAAGGCGACGACGGGUAGCCGGCCUGAGAGGGUGACCGGCCACACUGGGACUGAGACACGGACCAGACUCCUACGGGAGGCAGCAGUGGGGAAUAUUGCACAAUGGGCGAAAGCCUGAUGCAGCGACGCCGCGUGAGGGAUGACGGCCUUCGGGUUGUAAACCUCUUUCAGUAGGGAAGAAGCGAAAGUGACGGUACCUGCAGAAGAAGCACCGGCUAACUACGUG